CUUUAUUUCAACAUUUCCCUCACUUAAUGUCACUUUUGUUGACCACUUCAAUCCUUCCCAUACUUGCCAUUUUCAUGCUACUUACGUUUUUGCUACGCCGAUGGAGGAUCGACACCAUAUGAACUUGUCAGUACUGAUUGGCUUUGUCAACAUAUCUGCUAGGUUGUCUGCUAUAUGGAUUUUCUGUAUAUCUACACUUCCUUCUUCCACAUUUUCUCGAACAAAGUAAUAUUGAACUCGAAUAUGCUUUGUCCUAUGAUGAAAUGCUGGAUUCUUUGCCAAAUGCAAAGCGCUCUGACUAACACAAAAUAGAGCAAUCUUCUCUAGUUUGUGUCUGAGCUCGUCCAUUAAUAUUUGCAACCAGAUUGCCUCUUUGCUAAUUUGUGUAGCUGCCACGUAUUCUGCCUCUAUCGUUGAAGUAGUCACGAUAGACUGCAAUUUCAAAACCCAGCUUACAGCUCCUCCAGCAAGAGUAAACACAUAUAUUGUGGUAGACUUGCUUUUGUCAAGAUCACCUGCAUAAUCUGAAUCAACAUAGCCUCUGACAAUAAAAUCUGAUCCUCCAAAACAUAAUGUAGCACUUGAGGUACCUUUAGCAUAUCUCAGAAUCCUCUUUACAGUACUUCAAUGUUCUUUACCAGGAUUUGUCAUGUAUGGACUAACCGCUCCCACUGCUUGUGCAAUGUCUGGUCUUGUACAGAUCAUAGCAAACAUCAAACUACCAACUGCUGAUGCAUACGGUACUCGAGACAUCUCCAUCCUUCCUACUUCGCUACUAGGGCUUAUAUUUGAAGAUAACUUAAAAUUAAUAGGAAGAGGGGUAGAAAUUGGCUUACAAUCUUGCAUAUUGAAGCGAUGCAAGAUUUUCUUCAAGUAGUUCUUCUGACUAAGCCAAAUCUUCUUAUUGUUUUUGUCUUGAUAAAUUUGCAUCCUUAGAAUCUUGUUUGCCGUCCCAAGUCCUUUAUUUCAAACUCCCUAGCCAAUUGAGCCUCCAAAUUUUCAAUACGAUCUUUGUUGGGGCCUGCUACCAACAUGCCAUCAACAUACAAUAGCAGAAUAAUGAAAUUAUUAUCACCAAAUCUCAUGUAGUAUGCACAUGGAUUUGAACUGAGUCUGUUGUAUCCAAGGCUCAUGAUGAAGGAAUCAAAUCUCUUAUACCAACAUCUCGGCGCCUGUUUGAGAUCAUAUAGAGAUUUGUUCAACCUACAAACUAAGUUCCAUUUUCUUUUUUCGUUAAAACCUCCUAGUUGGAGCAUAACAAUUUCUUCUUCAAGUUCUUCAUAAAGAAAUGCAGUUUUCACAUCUAACUGCUCUAAAUGUACAUCUCUGCUGAUUAUCACCUUGUGGGCAGUGGGAACCGACAGGUGCUACCCCUUCACUCCAACAGCAUACCCUAAGAAGAUACAUUUUCUGGAUUUUGGAUCCAGUUUUGAUAUUUCUUGGGUGUUGUACAUAACGUACACAAGACUUCCUCCAUUGUCAGUCCUCAAACACUUGAUCUUUUUUUUUUUUUUUUUUUUUGAAAUUCAAGCUUCACACGCGCUUUGAGUAUUUUGAAGACUGCGAACAUGUUUGCAUUUUUUUGAUUGGAUACACCCAACAUCUCCCGGAGUAAGCAUCAAUAAAAGAUACAAAGUAUUUUGCACCUCAUAGGGAUAUAACCGAUACUCUCCAAACAUCGAAAUGGACCAGCUCCAAGAUAGCUUUACUUCUAGUAGCGAAAUUGCUGAACUUUAAUCUACGUUGCUUACUAGUAACACAAUGCUCACAAAAGGGUAAUGAAACAUUUUUUGAGCCUGGAAGAAGCUUUUGUUCUGAGAGAAUUUUCAAACCAUGUUUCGACGUGCAACCAAGCUUACGAUGCCACAUCAUCGUUAAUUCUUUUGCUGAACCUGUCGAUGUGACAGACGCUUCUCUUUUUUCUUGUAGUAUUUUUCCUUUAAGCAUGCACAAAUUUGUAACUAUCAUUUCAGCUUUCAUCACUACAAGCGCGUCUUUGACAAUCUUUUUCUCCGCCACACUUGACAAUACUCCAUCAGCUAGUGUAAGGUGCAGAUUAGUAACUGCAUUGCUAUCCAUCUCGUUCCACUUAGCAUCAUCAAUGAUCUCUGUGGGCCUCUGUCCAAUUGCCACCAAGCAGUUAUCUUUUCUCAUAACUGCUUUUAUUCUCACUUUUCAUAAUGAGAAAUUGUCCCAUUUGAACUUUUCAAUCUCAUACGUUGUCGCCAAUUUUUUUCACCAAUAUUAUGACUGAACAAUGACCCUACACAGAACCUUGCUUUGAUACCAUUGUUGGGGAGAAAAUGCUUGGGUCGACUUUGGCUGACAACGGAAAUGGAAUUGAGAAAUCGCAGCUCAAAUGGACACAAAUAUUUACGUGGUUCACCCAAUUUAGCCUACGUCCACGGACAAGUAUGGAAGGAUUCGCUAUAGUAGGAGAAUUACAACACUCACUUUAAAUACAAGAAGAUAACAACAAAUAAUCUCUCUUGUAAUUAGGAGAAAACAAAUAUGAAAUACCUAGGAGAAAAUAAUAAUUUUUCUCUCUAUAUUUUAUCUCUCUACUUCACCAUUUUUUCUCUCUACUAAAGGAAAGUUUUCCCUCAAUUUUCC
rnacentral:lncRNA from 1 species